UUACUGAUCCUGACUCCUGCUGCUUGCUCGAAAUGUUCAUUUUUAUUCGUUUGCUUGUAUAUGAUUUUAUUUUCCUUUAAUCCAGAUGAUGAUGUCUGUCAUUGUCUUUUUUAGGAAAGAUGUUUUUAAUGACUUUUCCCAACAGUGUGGAGAUGUAAUCGAGUCACAGGACCACUACCCAUACCAGCCAAUACCAAAGAAACACAUACAUGUUUGAGAUGGACACAGAGAUGU